UGGGAACCUUCCCUAUGGUUCGGAAUAGCCCAGGGAAACUUGGGGGUAAUACCGGAUAAGCCCUUCGGGGAAAGAUUAUCGCCAUUGGAUGGGCCCGCGUCGGAUUAGCUAGUUGGUGAGGUAACGGCUCACCAAGGCAACGAUCCGUAGCUGGUCUGAGAGGAUGAUCAGCCACACUGGGACUGAGACACGGCCCAGACUCCUACGGGAGGCAG
rnacentral:rRNA from 1 species